UGAAUCCUGUGUGUCCGACCUUCAUGAUU
rnacentral:piRNA from 1 species